UCUUUCUUAUUCUCUUUUCUUUUCUCUCUUUCUUCUUCCCUUUCUUCUUUUUCUCUGGCGAUUCCGGGAGGAAUUAUCCGAUUUGAAACCUUUGCAGAAAAUUGGUGAGAUCAAUCAACCGAGUGGGGUAUCGAUGAGUUCAUAGUUUGGGUUUAGUCAGAAUCAUCGAUUAAGUUGGAGAGAGGUGUUCCUGUGAAAGUUAGGGUUUCUUUGAGAUGAAGUUAUGGAGGAAUUGAUUAAUUAAAAGAGGAUUUAAGUAGUUAGUGAUGAAUAACAAAAGGGGUUGGUUUUUAAUUGAAGUCUGAAGUUGAGUCAAUGUUGAAUCAGAGUGCUAGGGUUUCAUGUUCUUCCCCAAGUUAAGAACUAGGGUUUUGGAUGUUGAAUGAAGAUUCAAUUUGGAGUUAGAAAAGAAGAAAUUGAAGAUUGGAUGUGGUGAUUUGAGAGGUGAAUCGAAGUGUGGAACUCAGAUUAGAAAGAUAAAAGAAUUGGGAAGUUUUGGGGUUUCUUGUGAAUCAGUGAGGGUGAUGAAGAUUGUUGGUAGUUUUGAGAUGUUUGUUCAAUUGAGGCAGAGGAAGAAAGAGCUCGACCUCAGUUUCCUGUGUAGAACUGAUUUGAGGUAAUUGUUUCUAUGAUAUGAUUCAAUUUAGUUAUUCAGUAUCAUUGUUUGAUUUUAUGUUAAUCGAAAUGGAGAUUUAAAUGACAUGGUAGAUAGGUGAUAAAUGUGGUUGUUUUUGAAGAUGAAUGUUUGUUGUAUGGUGUUGAUGAAUUAGAGUUAGGUAAAGAGGCUUGUGAUGCUGUUGUGGGUGUUAUUGAUUGAAGUUGAAUGAGACUUGAGAUUUAAGUAUAAAGGUUGGUACUGAUGGUGGUAUAAAUCUAAAUGGUGAUAACUGUUGCAAGAAGAAGUUUGUUGUCUGAGUUUGGUAAAUACAAUGGAAGGUUCAGAAACUGCAGGACAAUGUUAAUGGGGAUAUGAGAGGGUUUAAAGUUCAGUGGAUUGAUAUACGUUGAGAAGAAAUAAGUGCAGCUGUUAAUGUAAAUGGGUAUGAGCAGAUGAUGGUGGUCUUAACUGAAAUGAUAGUACUAGAUAUAAGCUGAGUCUGAUGUGUAUGAAGGUGACUGUGUAUUUUUGAAGAUGAGGUGUUGAAGUCAGUUAUUAAGAAGAAUGAGAGUUGAGUUGUUGUUGACAGUGGUGGACUAAUGGAUUCCAGGAUGCUUAUAUGGAGAUGAAAUUGAUGUUAGUUUGGAGAUGGUAAUGGAACUGAAUUAGUAGUAUGAGUGAGAUUCAGGGUGGAGGUCUUAGUGGUUUGAGUCAGUGAGCAUGUAUAGCAGAUGGUUGUGUUGAGAUGCAACUGUAAAUAUCAUAUGAAUUGUAGAAAGAUGUUGCUUAAAGCUGAAAUUGCAGUUAGUCUAUAUUAACAACGAUCGAUUCAAGGAUGAACCAGUGGAUCGUGGAUCUCGAGGUAGGCGUGGCUUGUCAUCAAAAGAGUUUCAGAGACAGAUUCAGAAUUGCGCAACGAAAGCUUCGAGGAAUUGAGUCCGUUAGUCGGUUAACUUCGACUAUGUUUAUUAUGUUGCAUAUUGUAUUUGUAAACCAAAUAACUAUUGUAUAUGUAUCAUUUGAGAGGAGUUCUUGUAUAUAUAUUUCUGAGCGGGGCUAGUUUUUGGGUUAAGUUUUGUAGCAGAUUUAUUAAUUGAAGGUUUAAGUAAAGGAUUAGAUUCUUAUUGCCUCUUUAUUUAGUUAAUCUCUUUGAUUAGACAGCUGCCAGCUUAGGGGGCGCUACAAUAUUGGUAUUAGAGAUCACUAUUAGAUCUUAUAUGGAAAAAGAUAGAAAUAGUCAGUGCCAGUUAGUGAAAUAGAUUAGUUUGGAACUGGGUUGGGUUGUGAGAUAAAUCUUAAUCACUAAAAGUUAUUAAUAAUUAAAAGACUUAUUUGAUUGUUUGUUUGUUUGAUUGUUUGUGUAUGUAAUGAAGUAAAAAUUGUAGGGUACACCAGUAACUUUAGCUAAUAAAGGUUAGGGAAUAAUCAGUCUAAAAUGUAUGAACACGUAGACAAUUCAAUACUAAAAAUUGUGAGAUUAGUAUUAUUGAUGAAUCUUGAAGGUCACAUAGAAACUUAUUGAAUAUCUUGACUUAUACGCAGAGUAAACAAUUUAUAAUUACAUAAAUAUUUAUGAUAUUUUUGGGACUUAAUAAUAUUUGUCGAAUA